GACGAACGCUGGCGGCGUGCUUAACACAUGCAAGUCGAACGGUAAGGCCCGUUCGGGUGUCCCCGAGUUGCGAACGGGGGAGUAACACGUGGGUGGUCUGCGCUUCACUUUGGGAUAAGCGUGGGAAACUGGGUCUAAUACCGGAUAGGACUACUCGAUCCAUGUUGUGUGGUGGAAAGCUUUUGCGGCGUGGGAUGGGACCGCGGCCUAUCAGCUUGUUGGUUGGGUGAGGGCCUAGCAAGGCGACGAGGGGUAGCCGGCCUGGGGGGAGGUCCGGCCACGCUGGGACUGAGAUACGGCACAGCCUAGUACGGGAGGCAGCGGUGGGGAAUAUUGCACAAUGGGCGCAAGCCUGGUGCAGCGAAGCCGCGUGGGGGAUGACGGGCUUCGGGUUGUAAACCAAUUUCAGCACAGACGAAGCGUAAGUGACGGUAUGUGCAGAAGAAGCACCGGCCAACUACGUG
rnacentral:rRNA from 1 species